ensembl:snoRNA small nucleolar RNA, H/ACA box 9
CUGCAAGCCCCCAGCAUGCUUGGGUCUGGGGUGCCCCUGUGCAUUCCCGCAGUGCUUGAAAGAACAUGUUGAAAUGGUUUGAGGCCUUGCCCUAUUCCAUCCAGAGCAAGGUCAUGAUUGUUUUCUUCCAUAU